UACGUAGGUGGCAAGCGUUGUCCGGUUUUACUGGGCGUAAAGAGCGCGCAGGCGGUCGAUUUAGUCGUGUGUGAAAGCCCCCGGCUCAACUGGGGAGGGUCACGCGAUACUGAUCGACUCGAAGGCAGGAGAGGGUAGUGGAAUUCCCGGUGUAGUGGUGAAAUGCGUAGAUAUCGGGAGGAACACCAGUGGCGAAGGCGACUACCUGGCCUGUUCUUGACGCUGAGGCGCGAAAGCUAGGGGAGCAAACAGG
rnacentral:rRNA from 1 species